rnacentral:rRNA from 1 species
UACCUAGCGGCAGACGGGUGCGUAACAUGUGGGAAUCUGCCUUUUGGUUCGGAACAACAUGGGGAAACCUGUGCUAAUACCGGAUAAGUCCUAACGGAGAAAGUUUUAAUGCCAAAAGAUGAGCCCGCAUUUGAUUAGCUUGUUGGUGAGGUAAAAGCUCACCAAGGCUAUAAUCAAUAGCUGAUUUGAGAGGAUGAUCAGCCACACUGGGACUGAGAUACGGCCCAGACUCCUACGGGAGGCAGCAGUGGGGAAUCUUGCACAAUGGGCGAAAGCCUGAUGCAGCGAUGCCGCGUGAGUGAAGAAGGCCUUUGGGUUGUAAAGCUCUUUUGUCGGGAAAGAUAAUGACUGUACCCGAAGAAUAAGGUCCGGCUAACUUCGUGCCAGCAGCCGCGGUAAUACGAAGGGACCUAGCGUAGUUCGGAAUUACUGGGCGUAAAGAGUAUGUAGGCGGCUAGAUAAGUUAAUUGUGAAAGCCCAAAGCUUAACUUUGGAACUGCAAUUAAAACUAUUUAGCUGGAGUAUGAUA